GUGAAAUUGAACUCGCUGUGAAGAUGCAGUGUACCCGCGGCAAGACGGAAAGACCCCGUGAACCUUUACUAUAGCUUGACACUGAACAUUGAGCCUUGAUGUGUAGGAUAGGUGGGAGGCUUUGAAGUGUGGACGCCAGUCUGCAUGGAGCCGACCUUGAAAUACCACCCUUUAAUGUUUGAUGUUCUAACGUGGACCCGUAAUCCGGGUUGCGGACAGUGUCUGGUGGGUAGUUUGACUGGGGCGGUCUCCUCCUAAAGAGUAACGGAGGAGCACGAAGGUUGGCUAAUCCUGGUCGGACAUCAGGAGGUUAGUGCAAUGGCAUAAGCCAGCUUGACUGCGAGCGUGACGGCGCGAGCAGGUGCGAAAGCAGGUCAUAGUGAUCCGGUGGUUCUGAAUGGAAGGGCCAUCGCUCAACGGAUAAAAGGUACUCCGGGGAUAACAGGCUGAUACCGCCCAAGAGUUCAUAUCGACGGCGGUGUUUGGCACCUCGAUGUCGGCUCAUCACAUCCUGGGGCUGAAGUAGGUCCCAAGGGUAUGGCUGUUCGCCAUUUAAAGUGGUACGCGAGCUGGGUUUAGAACGUCGUGAGACAGUUCGGUCCCUAUCUGCCGUGGGCGCUGGAGAACUGAGGGGGGCUGCUCCUAGUACGAGAGGACCGGAGUGGACGCAUCACUGGUGUUCGGGUUGUCAUGCCAAUGGCACUGCCCGGUAGCUAAAUGCGGAAGAGAUAAGUGCUGAAAGCAUCUAAGCACGAAACUUGCCCCGAGAUGAGUUCUCCCUGAGACUUAGAGUCUCCUGAAGGAACGUUGAAGACGACGACGUUGAUAGGCCGGGUGUGUAAGCGCAGCGAUGCGUUGAGCUAACCGGUACUAAUGAACCGUGAGGCUUAACCUUAC
rnacentral:sRNA from 1 species